rnacentral:rRNA from 1 species
UUCUGGUUGAUCCUGCCGGAGGCUACCGCUAUUGGAGUUCGAUUAAGCCAUGCGAGUCGAGAGUCUUAGGGACUCGGCGUACCGCUCAGUAACACGUGGGUAACCUGCCCUAUGCUGGGGAAUAACCUCGGGAAACUGAGAAUAAUGCCCCAUAGUCCACAAUGCCUGGAACGGUUUGUGGAUUAAAGCCCCGGCGGCAUAGGAUGGGCCUGCGGCGUAUCAGGUUGUAGGGGGUGUAACGUACCCUCUAGCCAUCAACGCGUACGGGUGUUGGGAGACAUAGCCCGGAGAUGGAUUCUGAGACACGAAUCCAGACCCUACGGGGUGCAGCAGGCGCGAAAACUUGGCAAUGCGAGAAAUCGUGACCAGGGAACUCCAAGUGGCUGGGUAAGACCCAGUCUUUUCUUGACUCUUCAAAGGUCUUGGAAUAAGAGGUGGGUAAGGACGGUGCCAGCCGCCGCGGUAAUACCGGCGCCUCAAGUGGUAGUCGAUUUUAUUGGGCCUAAAACGUCCGUAGCCUGUUUGGUACAUUCGUGGGUAAAUCAACCAGCUCAACUGGUUGAAUUCUGCGAGCACGGCCAGACUUGGGACCGGGAGAGGUGUGGGGUACGCUCAGGGUAGGGGUAAAAUCCUGUCAUCCUGAGCGGACCACCUGUUGCGAAGGCGCCACACUAGAACGGAUCCGACGGUCAGGG